rnacentral:rRNA from 1 species
UACGUAGGAGGCGAGCGUUGUCCGGAAUUAUUGGGCGUAAAGAGCUCGUAGCGGUUUGUCGCGUCUGCUGUGAAAACGCGGGGCUCAACUCCGCGCCUGCAGUGGGUACGGGCAGACUAGAGUGUGGUAGGGGAGACUGGAAUUCCUGGUGUAGCGGUGAAAUGCGCAGAUAUCAGGAAGAACACCCGUGGCUAAGGCGGCUCUCUAGUACGGUACUGACGCUGAGACGCGAAAGCGUGGGGAGCGAACAGGAUUAGACUAC